UGGGAUAAGCGUUGGAAACGACGUCUAAUACCGGAUACGAGCUGAGAAGGCAUCUUCAGCAGCUGGAAAGAACUUCGGUCAGGGAUGAGCUCGCGGCCUAUCAGGUAGUUGGUGAGGUAACGGCUCACCAAGCCUACGACGGGUAGCCGGCCUGAGAGGGUGACCGGCCACACUGGGACUGAGACACGGCCCAGACUCCUACGGGAGGCAGCAGUGGGGAAUAUUGCACAAUGGGCGAAAGCCUGAUGCAGCAACGCCGCGUGAGGGACGAAGGCCUUCGGGUCGUAAACCUCUUUUAGCAGGGAAGAAGCGAAAGUGACGGUACCUGCAGAAAAAGCACCGGCUAACUACGUGCCAGCAGCCGCGGUAAUACGUAGGGUGCGAGCGUUAUCCGGAAUUAUUGGGCGUAAAGAGCUCGUAGGCGGUCUGUCGCGUCUGCUGUGAAAUCCCGAGGCUCAACCUCGGGCUUGCAGUGGGUACGGGCAGACUAGAGUGCGGUA
rnacentral:rRNA from 1 species